rnacentral:rRNA from 1 species
UGGGGAAUAUUGGACAAUGGGCGAAAGCCUGAUCCAGCCAUGCCGCGUGUGUGAAGAAGGUCUUCGGAUUGUAAAGCACUUUAAGUUGGGAGGAAGGGCAGUAAGCGAAUACCUUGCUGUUUUGACGUUACCGACAGAAUAAGCACCGGCUAACUCUGUGCCAGCAGCCGCGGUAAUACAGAGGGUGCAAGCGUUAAUCGGAAUUACUGGGCGUAAAGCGCGCGUAGGUGGUUCGUUAAGUUGAAUGUGAAAGCCCCGGGCUCAACCGGGGAACUGCAUCCAAAACUGGCGAGCUGGAGUAGGGCAGAGGGUGGUGGAAUUUCCUGUGUAGCCGUGAAAUGCGUAGAUAUAGGAAGGAACACCAGUGGCGAAGGCGACCACCUGGGCUCAUACUGACACUGAGGUGCGAAAGCGUGGGGAGCAAACAGG